rnacentral:hammerhead_ribozyme from 1 species
GUACUGAUGAGCAGUCCCAAACUGGGACGAAACGCAUGUCCAGUAC